ACCUCUUCUGACCCUGCAGGUGUGAGAGGACCUCCGGAGGAUCGGCCGGUCUCUCACGGCAGAGACGUUCCAGGUCUCCUGUCCUAUCCGUGUGUGGAACAGCCUCCUCCAGUUCACCUGCGUUCCACUCUGAGGAGGCCCACACUUACGUAGAUGACACAAGUGUGGAAGACCUAACAGGAUACCUGGAGCACUAUUUAUUUAUUCCAAAGAAAAUGUCUCCCAUGGCUGAAAUGAUGUAUUCCUAAAUGAAAGCCAUAGGGAGUCACAUAGUCAUACAGUUUAGUUUUUUAAUUAAACCUGUAUAUAGUUUCAUACAGUCACACAA